CCUACGGGCGGCACCAGUGGGGAAUAUUGCACAAUGGGCGCAAGCCUGAUGCAGCCAUGCCGCGUGUAUGAAGAAGGCCCUAGGGUUGUAAAGUACUUUCAGUCGGGAGGAAGGCGUUGAUGCUAAUAUCAUCAGCGAUUGACGUUACCGACAGAAGAAGCACCGGCUAACUCCGUGCCAGCAGCCGCGGUAAUACGGAGGGUGCAAGCGUUAAUCGGAAUUACUGGGCGUAAAGCGCACGCAGGCGGUUGAUUAAGUUAGAUGUGAAAUCCCCGGGCUUAACCUGGGAAUGGCAUCUAAGACUGGUCAGCUAGAGUCUUGUAGAGGGGGGUAGAAUUCCACGUGUAGCGGUGGAAUGCGUAGAGAUGUGGAGGAACACCAGUGGCGAAGGCGACUCUCUGGUCUGUAACUGACGCUGAGGAGCGAAAGCGUGGGGAGCGAACAGGAUUAGAUACCCGAGUAG
rnacentral:rRNA from 1 species